rnacentral:rRNA from 1 species
UACGUAGGGUGCUAGCGUUGUUCGGAAUUACUGGGCGUAAAGCGCGCGCAGGCGGCUAUCCAAGUCCGUGGUGAAAGCCCGGAGCUCAACUCCGGAACUGCCAUUGAAACUGUUUAGCUUGAGGAUGAGAGAGGUGAGUGGAAUUCCCAGUGUAGAGGUGAAAUUCGUAGAUAUUGGGAAGAACACCGGUGGCGAAGGCGGCUCACUGGCUCAUUACUGACGCUCAGGCGCGAUAGCGUGGGGAUCAAACAGG